rnacentral:rRNA from 1 species
GACAGAGGAGGCGAGCGUUAUCCGGAGUUAUUGGGCGUAAAGGGUACGUAGGCGGCUGGUCAAGUCUGGGGUUAAAGACCACAGAUUAACUGUGGGGGGGCCUUGGACACUGACCGGCUGGAGUGGGGCAGGGUGUGCUGGAAUUCCCGGUGUAGCGGUGAAAUGCGUAGAUAUCGGGAAGAAUACAUGAGGCGAAAGCGUGCAACUGGGCCCUAACUGACGCUGAGGUACGAAAGCUAGGGGAGCGAAUGGG